GACGAACGCUGGCGGCGUGCCUAAUACAUGCAAGUAGAACGCUGAAGAGAGGAGCUUGCUCUUCUUGGAUGAGUUGCGAACGGGUGAGUAACGCGUAGGUAACCUGCCUUGUAGCGGGGGAUAACUAUUGGAAACGAUAGCUAAUACCGCAUAACAAUGGAUGACACAUGUCAUUUAUUUGAAAGGGGCAAUUGCUCCACUACAAGAUGGACCUGCGUUGUAUUAGCUAGUAGGUGAGGUAACGGCUCACCUAGGCGACGAUACAUAGCCGACCUGAGAGGGUGAUCGGCCACACUGGGACUGAGACACGGCCCAGACUCCUACGGGAGGCAGCAGUAGGGAAUCUUCGGCAAUGGGGGCAACCCUGACCGAGCAACGCCGCGUGAGUGAAGAAGGUUUUCGGAUCGUAAAGCUCUGUUGUAAGUCAAGAACGAGUGUGAGAGUGGAAAGUUCACACUGUGACGGUAGCUUACCAGAAAGGGACGGCUAACUACGUGCCAGCAGCCGCGGUAAUACGUAGGUCCCGAGCGUUGUCCGGGUUUAUUGGGCGUAAAGCGAGCGCAGGCGGUUUGAUAAGUCUGAAGUUAAAGGCUGUGGCUCAACCAUAGUUCGCUUUGGAAACUGUCAAACUUGAGUGCAGAAGGGGAGAGUGGAAUUCCAUGUGUAGCGGUGAAAUGCGUAGAUAUAUGGAGGAACACCGGUGGCGAAAGCGGCUCUCUGGUCUGUAACUGACGCUGAGGCUCGAAAGCGUGGGGAGCGAACAGG
rnacentral:rRNA from 1 species